rnacentral:rRNA from 1 species
UACAGAGGGUGCGAGCGUUGUCCGGAAUCACUGGGCGUAAAGCGUGCGCAGGCGGUUUUGUAAGUCUGUCGUGAAAGCCCCGGGCUUAACCUGGGAAUUGCGAUGGAGACUGCAAGGCUUGAAUCUGGCAGAGGGGGGUAGAAUUCCACGUGUAGCAGUGAAAUGCGUAGAGAUGUGGAGGAACACCGAUGGCGAAGGCAG